UUUAGUUUUAAUUGAGAUUUCAAGAUAUCUUUUUUUUUAUACAUGGGGAAAUCCUCAUGAACACCCCACUGCUCUUCUAGAAAGCGACGGGGUAGUGUAGGACUAUAUCGACUAAAACCCCAUGGUGGUCCGUCUGACUCUCAACAGGGAUAUAAAUAUAUCUAGACUAGGUCCAUUUUGUGAGCGCUUUUUCUACAAAGAUGCAUUGUUUAAUUUAGAACGAAAAGUUGGAAGCUUUUUUAUAUAAUCCUUUUAAAUAUUAAAUUAUUAAAUAGAGCAACUGGUUUGCCAAAGCAUUUAUAGUUUUAGUUAAAAAAUUUUGCUCGAAUAUAACGUUGUACUUUAGAUUAGUAUCUCUUUAAUAUCUACCUUUAGUCUAGCUUUGCUUACAAGUAGGUUUUAGUUCUAAAAUUUAGAUUAAGUUAAUUUUAAACACGAUCGUUGGUCGGCAAGAGACAAUGGGGAAUUUAUUCUUUGUCGGAAGUUUUAAAGGUUACCCUUAAGUCUGAUUUUUAAUUGUUGUUAAGUUAUAGCUGCAAAGUUAGCUUUAAGCCUUAGUUUCAGUACAUUUGCGAAGAUUGAUGUCCUUGGCCGAUAUACAGGGUGGUUGGCAACUGGUGGUACAAGCGGAAAGGGGGCCAUUCUACGCGAAAAAAGAAGUCGAAAAUAUAGAAUAAAAAUUUUUCGUUUGGGACUUUGUUUUCGAGAAAAUCGACUUUGAAUUUUCGCGUUUUAUUCGCGAAUUUUAUAGAAAAACAAAAUUUGUUACACGGAAACGUUAUUUGAAUGCCUAACAUGAAUGUGUUUUAAAUAGAAUUACGUAGAUCACAAUUAUUGUAAUUUUUUAUUAGUUUAUAUGACAAUAUAAGUAUAAAUAUUAAUUUACCGAUAGAAAAUGUUACAGCAACGUUUUAAUUAUUACGCAGAGAAUAGUAUACAGUUUUAUGUAUGUAUAUGUACAUUAAUCAAUUACAAUUGUUACAUUUAAAAAUACGCAUUGUUUAGUAUAUUACAUAUAUAUAAUUGUAAAUUAGUAUGAUAAAAAGUUAAAAUACACAGGCGAAGAAAGGUGUAGAGAAUUAACAGUAAUGGCAGUCGUACAAAAACGUUUGUAAUUUAAUAUUCAUUCAAAUAUAUCCGACGAUAGUCACGCGAGAAUAUAAAUGAUUCGCAAGAAGUUAAUAACCUUAUUGGAGAUUCUGUUCUUCUUCAUUUUACUGCUUUAUCUAUACAAAUGCUUAACCAAUUGUUGUAGCAAAUUAGAUUGCAUCAUUAAUGAUAUCUGUUCCUAUUCAGACUCCUCAAGUAGGAAAUUAGUACUGUGCUUAUCGCAUCUGUAUCUUUAAUCAUACUACAAACAAACGACUUAAUAAACGACUACAUAUACAGGGUGUUUCGUUUAUCCUGUCCACUUUAAUAUCUUUGUUACUUUUGCGGAUACGAAACGGAGUAGGAGGAAAAAGUUGUUCGGUUUAGAACAGCAAAUAUUCUGAUUUACGUCUUUUCUCUUUAACAUCACUCUUCUUCGAAUUUUCAAGGUCAUUAAAGAUUUCUGUAAAAUAAUGGCACAUUUUUAUCAUCGUAUUAUCAUAGCUGAUAAGAGAUGAAUUUCAAACGUGUAGAUACGUUGAUCUUGAAGAGAUCUUGAGUAGAAAAUUCAAGAUAAUUUAAAGGGAAUUAACAAAUUGUAUAAUUUCUUGUUUCUGCCCUAAAUUUGUAUCACUUUACAAGAAAAAUUCGAUAUGAUGUCCGUUCGUUGAAGGGGAGAAACACGAAUCGCAAUAUUUGUCGUUUUAGAGCGAACAACAUUUUCCUCGUAUAUUUUUUCGUAUCUGCAAAGGUGACGAAAUAUUGAAGACGACAGGAUAAACGAAACACCCUGUGCAUGUAUACACGUACAUACUUUCAUCUACAUAGUUUAAAACCAUCGAGUCGUCAUAUUAUUGUGUUUUUUAAAGAUUUAGUAACAAUUUUCUUGAAAUUUCACGGAAAUCCAGUAGACUGUCAAAGUCAUGAAAGUUUACAGUAGCAAAAUAUAAAUAUGUACAUAUAAUAUAAUACAGUAUACCACGGUACAGUAUAGUAUAGAAAUAAUUAUAAGAAGACGAUGUAUUCUGUAUACGUGAUGCGAGGAACAGGAAAAUGAUGGGCGCAAAUCUGUGAAACGCUGAGAAACAUUUUUAUGGUCAAAAAAUUAGUUAUUAAAAAAUCGUUAUUAUAAAUGCAUCAAUGAAUAAUUAAACAGGAAACAUGCCCAUUAAAUAUAUGUAUGUAUGCAUUCUUCUUGGUACAUUUUCGAUUAGCAGCACAAAUAUUUCAUAAACUCAUUUUCUGUAUUACACGUAUGCUAAUGACAUAUCUCUUUAUGUCAUUAUUUAUAAAUUAUUGCCUACAAUUUUCCUCCAUAUUCCUGAAAAUGGAAAAAUCGAUGCUAAAUUCCUGUAACUUUCUAAUGACUGCUAGUUUACCAGAGACCUAUUUGUUUAUUUAUUUAUUUCGUACAAGAAAUAUUUUACGAAUGACACAUGAUUUGACAACUUCGUUUCUUUUAAUGUCAAUAAUACACACUUAUGAAUUAUGAUAGAUACUGAAGGUUUAUCUAUCUAGCUUUUUUUUCUUUUGUUAUUUAACCUUAGAAUAAGACCUAUCUGUAGAAUCUGUCCUAUUAAACGCAAAUAUCCAUUAAAACUGUGAUAACAGAAUGCAAUACGUAUGUACUUUAUAAGUAAUUCUUUAAUUUAUGGAUUCCUUCUGUUGUGACAAACUCAACCAGAUUAAUGAAAUUAUAUUAUAAAUUUACAAAGGCGAUUAUGUAUUGAAGUAUUAUUACUAUCCUUUAUACGUAUUUAUUCACACAUACACAAAUUGGACGAUGCGUGGCAAUCAUAUUGCACGUAUAUUCGAAACGAUAUAAAUCGCAGUUGUAAAGUUUUCUAUUCGCUUUAGCAUUAACGUGUGAGAAUGGACAGAAAAUAGUUUAUUACAGUACACUCAAGUAUUAUCAUAAUUGAGAAAAAUAAUAGCGAAAUAGUACAUAUUUAAUUAAAGAUGAUAGAAUUACGUACUACGUUUUAAGGGAAAUGGUUAUGAAGAUAAAGAAAGAAUUAUCUGGCCGGAACUUUUUGACACGAAAACAAUAUUCGACGUAACAAAACAACGAAUUUGAUAGCAGUAACGUCUUUUCCAAUACUAAAUUCGACAUACAGAAUUGGAAGGAAAUGUUUACUGGUAUAUUGUACUAAUAUUGCACUUUUAUGUACAUUCACGUGACAUUUUGAUGUGCCAAGUAUUUGUAGGAAAAGAAACACAACUUUGUUAGUAUGUUUCUAUACAGUCAGUGGAGGAAUACCUAUCAUUUUGUGAGAGGUAAGCGUGUUAUAUUUAUAGUUUUAAGUCAAAUUUUAAAGAAACAUUAAAAUGUGAAUUUCAAUAUGACAAGUUAUCGUAAUUGAUGCUAUCGUAAAUUACAUAAUAUGAUGGAAACAUACAGUAAGAAAAAUAUGUUUUCACUUUUUGUCAAUGAAAUUGUUAUAUUUACUUCAUAUUGAUUCAUUUGUAAGCACGUUAACUAUAGUUAAAGGCUUAUCGAUUAACAACUCACGUUUUAGAAAAUAAUGUACUCCUUUAAUAAUUGUUAGGUAUAUUCAUAGAUUUACGCUUACAAGAUCUUCAACACUUGGUAAUAAUGACCAUAUUUGCAGUAAAGGUUUCGUAUCCAAAAGCUACUGAUAAAUGUUUAUAGUUUCAUAGUCACAUAUGGUUAUCAUAUUAUAUACGUAUAGAGCGUUAAAAGAAUGUAUUUUUUUAUAAUCUCCACCUAAAUUGUACGCUAUGAAUAGAAGGAAAUGUAAUUUCUAAACAGUAACAUGUGAAUAAUUUAUUGAUAUUUGUCAGAAAUAUAUCUUAAACGCAAUAAAAGGAAUGCAUAAUAUUAGUAUUAUUUCAAUUAAUUACGUUGAAUAAAAGUUUCACGUGUUAAAGGUUUCCGAUCAAAUAUAAUAAUGUUUCGAAUACAUUUCUGCAUUUCUUUUCGUAAAUUUCUACUUAUAACAUGGCAGUAAAGCUAGAUAUCGUAUAAGAAACAUACAUUUUUGCGUUUUCUUCUUUUUUUGCAUUAUUUUACUUCGUACGAAAUGCGACUAAUUAUAUAAUUCAAUUUUAUAACAGGGAAAAAGGAGUCUACAAAUUUCUAUAUAGGAUGACUCAUUUAAAGAAAAUAAUAUCAAAUUUGUAAGUAUAUAUAAUCCUAGAGGGUAUCACAUUAAUUUACAACCGAAUACGUGAUUCAAUAUUUGGCACGAUGAUUUGUUUGCUCUAAUUUGUGUAUAAUAAUGACACAAGUACUUUAUGUAAUUUUUAAAAUUAUUAGUGUUAAUUAGUCCUUACUUUAGGAUAGAGUUCCACAUCACACAGUCUUUCGCACCUUAUUCGUAUUGGUCAAGCAGUUACCUAUUUCUUUAUUCUUAAAUACAUAUACAAUAUUUACAUAAUCUUCAUAAACAUUCUUCCUUCACUUUUUCAAGGCAAUGGUUGUGGGAGAUAAAACUAUAUGAAGAAAUUUUCCUCUUCUGGUCUAUCGUGAGAUUUUGUGUACAUUAAUCUUUAUAUAGAAAUAAAUCGAAAGUGAAAAAUUAUUAUCUUGGAAACUUAAAGUAUGAUAAUUUAUAAAAAUAUGUUAAAAUUAAAAAAUAAAGAUAAAUUAAUUUCUGUGACAUUUUGCUAAAUGCAAGUUAGAGGACUUAACGAAAGUUGCUUUAAUAAUUUUGUUGGAAAUAAUAUGACAACAAAGAAGAAAUUUACAACCAGAAAUUAUUUAUUGCAAAAAGAAUGGAAUGUAAAAUGCAACAUAAAGCUUACGUAUAUAGGACACUUUCUCAGUUAAAAAAAGGUGAUAAAUAAUUAAUUUCAUUAUCAACAAUAUGGAUGUGCUUUCAUUUAAAAAUCCUGUACACGAUAAAAUCGUGAAAUCGAUGUGUAUUUAGAUUUGAAAUGGAAUAUUUUCUCUACUCAACUUGAAAUAAAUAAAAUUUUCUUUCUUUUCUUCUACCAAAUUUGAUACAGGUUCAAAUAUGAUAUUGUACAUUAUUUAGAUGUUCCUAAAGCUAUCAUAAAUUUCAGCAUAAGUUUCGCUAGUAUCGUCGUCAAUUUUGACAUCGUUCCACUUUUAAUACACGAUAAUUAAUUUAUUAGGUUUCCUAUCAAAACACAAAAAGCAGUAACAUUUAUAGCAUUUCAGCAAAUACAGACCAAUUUACGAUACAAAGAGGAUGUGCCACGUGUACAGAGGAUUAUGGAAAAAUCAAUUUAUUCUUUUCAAACAUCUAGUACCGAUUGCGAAUCGUUGAUUCAUAAAAAAUGAGUAUACAUAAAUAUUUGGCUGACAUAAAAAGUACAUAUAAUCCUAUCAUGUAAUAUGUUUAUGUAGUCUGUAUUUUAAAGCACAGAAAAUUAAUGUUUCUCUGUUGGUCAUUGCAGCGACCGCUUUUUUAUAACAUUGUGGAAAAAUGCACAAUACAUAUUAACGGUCGACGUGUUGGAGUUACACCAUACUUGACUACUACAAAUAAAAAUACCAGAAAUUGCACCCUUAGAUGAACACUCGAAGCAAAUUCUUCAAACCAAAAUAACUGGCAGAUGUAUAGAUGAAUAAUCCAAAAGUGUCAGUGAAAUUCAAAAUUUGUUGAAAAAGAAUACAGCAAAUUAUGCAAUCAAAGUAUCAAACCUUAGCUUUCUAUUACUUCAAGCCAUCCAUCAGGCAAGUGCUGAAUUUCAUCAGCGAAAAAUGCCGUGUCCUCGGACCAGAUUCGAUCGUUGUGUCAUUUUUCUGUCUCAUCCGCUAAUUGAAACUUCGUAUCCGAAGAAAUAAUGUCUAGUGAAUAAGCUAGCUGCUGCAGGAUGUCCCGAAAAGAUGCAGCCAAGUCAGUACCGAUGAAUUCCUCCAAAAUUCCCAUUAGAAAUCUCAAGGAGCACGUUAAGACGGUAGCAAGAGGAAACACCUACGACAUCGUGGCCGAAGAAGGCUUCGGAUUCAACUGUUUUUAAUUGCCAAAGGAUUUAAUUGUUUUUCUACAUUUCCAUGACCAAAAGGCCAAAUCAUAGUAUGCGGAGGAAAACUAAAAACGAGAAAUUAUAAUGGCAACCAAUAGGUGUAGGUCAGGCCAUUACAACCUGGGCAUCUCAUCAGCCUGGACAGGUAUAAUAAGCGACCCUAAGUGCCAGUGUGGUCAUGAAAGUCAGGAUUGAUAGAUCGUGUAUUGUGGCAAUGCCAUUUUUGUUACUAUUUAAUUAAUCAACUAUUAACUAUUCAUUAGGCAACUCCAAAAAUUACUGUCUCCCAUUCUCAUGUAACGUAGUAUUACACAAUCGCGCAAUAGCGAUUUGCAAAGUCAUACGCUCAUCCUUGGAAAGCUGUAACAUAUCGAUCUGAUUAUAAUAUAUUAAAUAUUAUCAAUUUAUUGAUAUCAAGAUACGAAUAUUCCAAGUUCAUAUACGUAAACUACGUGUAAUGUAAGCAACGCAAAUAAUCUCGGUGGGGACUAAAUUGGUUGAAUACGAAAAGCAAACAUGUCCCAUCCGAGACUCCUUAUGAUGUGAUUCGUCGUGGAAGCAGUACGUGCUCUGCACUUAUCAGUGUCCUGACGAUCGGAUCUUCUAUGAUGAAUGUAAAUUCUAUAAAUGAAUCUAUAAUGAAUCCAAAGACACAUUUUCUCGUGAUGGAAUUCAUCACUUGCCUAAAUAGGUGGCUUGAAGUUAUAAAAGGCAGCGACAAAUACUUUGAUUGAACUACUUGCGGUAUUUUUUCGAUAUACAGCUCUGAGCUUUGGACUUUGAGCACUGAAGAUUAUUCAUUUCAUUGGAUUAUUCAUUUGUACACCUAUUAUUAACUCUACUUUGCGUUCCUCGGCUCAUCCUCGUCUCGAUCCUGUAUACUUCCAGCGUUAAAAAGUUUCCUCAGUUCAGAGGAAAUAUGAAACAAUCGUUACUGAUAUGCAAAUUCCUUCUUUGAAUAUUAUGUUACAAAUUUUCCUAGAACGUUAAAAGCGUUUGUAUCUGUCGACAUAGGGACGAGACGGAAAAAUCGGAGAACCGCAGUAGGGUUAAUAAUACGUCAGAGAAACUUAAACAAAUACGCAUAUACUUAUUACGUGAUCCGUAUAUUCUUCGUCCAAAGAUGAUCUAUCUUGCGAAGAAUAUCGGAUCAGGUUGGCAAAUUAAGUUAAUAUACAUAACUAUACGAAGUUUUAAUUAGUCAUUGCAUUCAGCAUAGUUUAGAAGAUAUAUGUAUAUGCUGAUGCUGAUACAAAGCGCACAAUUUGUCUUGUUUUGCUUAUUCGAUUGUACGGAAUGAUCAAGAGCUUCGUUAUAACAUUUCGCUUGUUAAAAGAAUUAUAAAUGAGUCCAUAUGUUAAUCAGAUUUUAUAGAAACUAUAUUUCUAUGAACGCUGUUGUAGUUGUAAUUUUAAGUUUCUGAAACUAUUUAAAAUACUUUAUUUAGUACAUAGACAGAGUCGGAUCUUAAUAGGUAGUUACUUAAUUAACAAAACAGUUUUAGAUACAUGACAGAUUUUUAUAAUGAGAUAUCGAGAAUUAAUAAAUGAAUUAACUAUAUAAAA